GACGAACGCUGGCGGCGCGCCUAACACAUGCAAGUCGAACGGAGCUGAGAGAAGCUUGCUUUUCUUAGCUUAGUGGCGAACGGGUGAGUAACGCGUGAGUAACCUGCCCUGGAGUGGGGGACAACAGUUGGAAACGACUGCUAAUACCGCAUAAGCCCACGAUCCGGCAUCGGAUUGAGGGAAAAGGAUUUAUUCGCUUCAGGAUGGACUCGCGUCCAAUUAGCUAGUUGGUGAGGUAACGGCCCACCAAGGCGACGAUUGGUAGCCGGACUGAGAGGUUGAACGGCCACAUUGGGACUGAGACACGGCCCAGACUCCUACGGGAGGCAGCAGUGGGGGAUAUUGCACAAUGGGGGAAACCCUGAUGCAGCGACGCCGCGUGGAGGAAGAAGGUGUUCGGAUUGUAAACUCCUGUCGUUAGGGACGAUAAUGACGGUAACUAACAAGAAAGCACCGGCUAACUACGUG
rnacentral:rRNA from 1 species